rnacentral:rRNA from 1 species
AGCGAACGCUGGCGGCAGGCCUAAUACAUGCAAGUCGAGCGCCCGUAGCAAUACGGGAGCGGCAGACGGGUGAGUAACACGUGGGAACGUACCCUUCGGUUCGGAAUAACCCAGGGAAACUUGGGUUAAUACCGGAUACGCCCUUACGGGGAAAGAUUUAUUGCCGAAGGAUCGGCCCGCGUCCGAUUAGCUAGUUGGUGGGGUAAUGGCCCACCAAGGCGACGAUCGGUAGCUGGUCUGAGAGGAUGAUCAGCCACACUGGGACUGAGACACGGCCCAGACUCCUACGGGAGGCAGCAGUAGGGAAUAUUGGACAAUGGGCGCAAGCCUGAUCCAGCCAUGCCGCGUGGGUGAUGAAGGCCCUAGGGUUGUAAAGCCCUUUCGGCGGGAAGACGGCCCUCGACAACGAGGGCGGACGGUA